CCACACCACAAUUAAGGAUAGCACGAUAUUAUCAACCGAUCACUGAUAUUUUAUUUCGCUGGCAGAUCAAAAUUCCAAUGAUCAACGAAAGAUCAACGACUUUGCCGAAUGACUGCGGCCAGGCCAGAGCCAGGCUGUCCUUAUAAGUUACAUUGUCGCCUCAUAAGAAUUUCAACGGCGCUUUUUACGCACUCGCAUUAACUGAUUAAUGUUGAUGGUGUAGUUUAUGAGAAUUACAAUUCAACGUAAAACAAAAGAUUUUAUCAUCCAUCCACACUGAUCCGUACAGCAGAAAGAAUCGAGGUGUAGACGAAGAUUAUGCUGCAGAUUCUACAACGACUAACUCAUCAACAUGCGAUGUUUAUUGGUAAUAAAUUAGCACGAUGAAAUGUAUGUGUGAGUCAUUAACAUUAAUCCAUACGAAUUAAGAGUAAUAAUUAUUUGCGACAAAUAAUCUGAUUUCUAUCAUCGCAACGCUUGUUAUUGUCACAUCGUUUUUGUUGGGACAGGAUUAAUCACAUGAGAUUAUAAUAAAAAGGAGCAAAUAGGAUGAUUCAAUAUAUAGUCUCAAACUUGAGACAAUAUAAUAUUUAUUUUAUAAUAAUAUGGAGUUUUCAUCAACAAUAACAGUGUAGUAGUAGGCGUAACAAGAGAGACGAGGUAGGUCACAAGGAACCUAACCUGAUGAGCAUACGCCAACAAGUCCAAAUUAAUUUGUAAUCGAAAUUUGAAAACAAUAGAAUUCCAUGUGCAACCCCUCAUAUUGUACAUACGUACUACUCCGUCAAAUGAUUCAUUUGAAUCGAAUGAAAUAAUUUGGCAACUGAUUUAAUUCCCCCUCUGGCCCCCCACCACUCCAGAUAAUCAAAAACCGGAUAGAAUCAAGUUUGGUUCGAAAAUUGUAAAUUAAUUUCAAUUCACUAGACACCGUAAGAAGGCAAAGACUUGCUAGCGCACGACAAAGUCAGCCGGGAGACCAACCUUUGAUUCAGAAUAAUUUUUAAGCCAACUAUUUACCACGAGGAACAGAGAAGGGUUUUUUUCAAAAUCGGUGCGAAGUUGUUCUUCGUCUUUCACCUGAUUUAAAAAGGAUAGAAGAUUAGCGACGUAUGUAGCUAAAUCACAGAUUGAUCCCACCUGCUUAAGUAUAUUACAGCUAAGAUUAGUUUAGUAAGUCUAUGUUUGAUUUCCUUAGGCUCGGGUGACUCUAGACUGGCCCCCUAUUAUUUGUAUUUUGAUCACUCUUUAAUAAAUUGCAAUAUCAAUUGUUAAUUCCUCAUCUACUGUAAGAAUUCAAUUUUCGAGUUCGACAGUGCAGUAGUAUAUCAACAAUAUUAUUCUUAUCAUCAUUACUAAUAAUACUAUUAUUAUUAUUGUUAUCGUUAUCAUUAUCGUUAUCGUUACUAAUAUAUUUGUUUAAUUUUUAUUUAUUUCGAUUUAGUUUUUUUUUCAAUUAUUCUAACUGCUUUUUUUCUUCUAUGUAUCUAUACAUAUAUUUAAAAUUUGCUGCUUUUCAGAUUUUGGUUGUUGGGAAAAGUGUGACCGUUCUAAUUUUUUUUAUCCCAGCGCAGAUAUGGAAACGACUCAAAAAUAAUAAAGUAGUGCAGACAA